rnacentral:rRNA from 1 species
GACGAACCUUGCUAACGUUAUUCGGAAUUACUGGGCUUAAAGGGUGCGUAGGCGGCGCGGUAAGUCGGGUGUGAAAUUUCGAGGCUUAACUUCGAAACUGCAUUCGAUACUGCCGUGCUUGAGGACUGGAGAGGAGACUGGAAUUACGGUGUAGCAGUGAAAUGCGUAGAGAUCGUAAGGAAGACCAGUGGCGAAGGCGGGU